rnacentral:rRNA from 1 species
CUACGGGUGGCACCAGUGGGGAAUAUUGGACAAUGGGGGAAACCCUGAUCCAGCAAUGCCGCGUGUGUGAAGAAGGCCUGCGGGUUGUAAAGCACUUUCGGUUGGGAGGACUGCUUCUAGCACUAAUAUUGUUGGAAGUUGACGUUACCUUCAGAAGAAGCACCGGCUAACUCCGUGCCGGCAGCCGCGGUAAUACGGAGGGUGCAAGCGUUAAUCGGAAUUACUGGGCGUAAAGCGCGCGUAGGCGGCUAGAUCAGUCGGGUGUGAAAGCCCCGGGCUUAACCUGGGAACUGCAUCCGAUACUGUCUAGCUUGAGUACAGGAGAGGAGAGUGGAAUUCCACAUGUAGCGGUGAAAUGCGUAGAUAUGUGGAGGAACACCAAUGGCGAAGGCAGCUCUCUGGCCUGAUACUGACGCUGAGGUGCGAAAGCGCGGGGAGCAAACAGGAUUAGAUACCCCUGUAGUC